rnacentral:lncRNA from 10 species
CCUGCCUCAGCUUCCGGAGCAGCUGGGACUGCUGGCGCCCGCCACUACGCUCGGCUAAUUUUUUUGUGUUUUUAGUAGAGACGGGCUUUCACCGUGUUGGCCUAGCGGUUCUCCAACUCCUGACCUCAUGAUCCCCCCGCCUCAGCCUCCCAAAGUGCUGGGAUUACAAGCGUGAGCCACCGCGACCCGCCAACACUCUUGACAACAGUGCUGUGCUAAGAACUUGGGGGACUUCAAAAAGUUCACCAGUUCCUGUGUCCAUGGGUGAAAAGAUUUUCUACAUCUUUCCUUGACUAGAAACAGAAGUCCUGAAACAAGGUACACCUUCUUGAGGCUUACUUGAAUAUAACGUCAGGAGGCCAGAGGCUUUGUCCUGCCUAAUGUGUUAUUUCCACACUGAAUAAAAGCACCUGAGUCCUGGUAAGUCUAAUUUGCUAGGUGUGGCAAUAUGACCAGUGAAAAACAACAAGGGCAGCAUUUCCUGCAGUUCGGUGGCACAGUAUGGUUCAAAGAGGUAUAAAAGGAAGUCACAGGCAUUUUAAAAAGGUUGUACAUCUAGCAAUACCUAACAAAAUAGGAAAUCAACUUGGAAAGCCAAUGGCUGUGUUUUGAGUUUAUGGAGAGCCAUAUGUGGCAAGGAACUGAGGGUGGCAUCCAGGCAACAGACUUCAAGAAACUGAGGCUGUCAGUCCAACAACCCACAAGAACUGAAUCUGACCAACAAUCACAGGAACAAACUUAGAAGUAUACUCUUUCCCAGACAAACCUUCAGAUGAGACCACAGCCCCAGCCAUAAGCUUGAAAACAAUCUCAUGAGGGACCUUGAGCCACAGGCAUGUAGUAAAGCUAUGCCAGGAAUCCUGCCUGCCCCACAGAAAAUGUAAAAAAAAUAAAUUUUUAUUGUUUUAAGCCACGAAGUUUUGAAGUAAUUUGAUAUAAAAC